GUGCUCACUUCACCAGCACAUAUACUAAAAUUGGAAUGAUAUAGAGAAGAUUAGCAUGGCCCCUGUGCAAGGAAAUUUGCAAAUGAUAGAACUAGAAAAAAUGU